CAACCCUUUUACAUAGCAGCUCACAAUUUAAAGAUAAGUUUGAGGCUGCAUUUGGCACCAAUAAAAGUGUUCCAGCUGCAAAUACAACUCGUUGGAACAGUACAUUUAAACAAGUACAGGCCCUUACAACUCUAGAACACAAAUCACUCAGUGAAAUGUGCAACAAAGACUAUGAGGAUGUCGUGUUCAGUGCGCGGGAGUGGAACCAGCUAAAGGAGCUAUGUAUAGUUCUUUCUCCAUUUGCUGAAGCAACAGAGCUGACCCAAGGGGAAAGAUCAGUGACUAUUAGUAUGGUGGUUCCAACUGUACUGGACUUGAACACACACCUCCUCAAGAUGGAGGAGACCCGAAUGCAGUGCCGGCCGUUGGUCAGAGCCCUCCAGCAGUCUCUGGUGAAAAGAUUUUCUGGAAUCUUUACAAAAACAAACAUGGCCAAAGACAGUGGAAGAGAGGAACCUUUUAACCAUGAUGUGUACUUCUUUGCUGCCAUGCUGGAUCCACAGUUUGGCUUAAGCUGGGUGGAUUUAGAUGUUACCAACGGAGGUAAUGCAGCAUCGGUGAAGAAGUUCAGAGAUGAACUUAAGAAGACACUGACAGACACAUUGAUCUUUGGGGUGGAGAACAUGGAGAGUACAGAUGACAAGUGCUCAGAAGCCAUGAAUGUGGAUCCAACCAGUCAUUCGCCACCAGCCAAAUGCCCUCGACUUCUGUCACGCUACAAGGCACAUAAGAAGCACAGCUCCUCUGUCCAGAAUUCAAGUAUUGCAACACAAUUAAACAGAUACUUUAAUGAUAUAAGAGACUGUGACAGUGACAAUGCUCUUGCCUUCUGGGGAGAAAACCAGUCCAAAUAUCCUCAACUGCACAAUUUGGCUUUGAAAGUGCUAUCCGUCCCUGCCUCCUCUGCACCAGUGGAAAGGGUUUUUAGUCGAGGAGGCAUUGUAAUGAGACCCCAUCGUGCACGUUUAGGUGCAAAAAUGCUGCAGUCUCUAAUCUUUCUGAAGUGCAAUGAAACCUUACUUUAAACUAAUUUUAUGUAUCACCUACUUUAUUUCAACCACUGUUCAACUACAUGGUUAUCCUUGUUCUCGAGUUUUGCCAUUGACGUUUUCUAAAGCUUUGGCGUAUUAUGAAACUGCUUCCAGUUGUAUAAUUUUAUUUUUGAAACGCAUGCAGUUGGGCCUCUAAAUGUCAGAUUUCUUUAUUAUGUAUGUUAUGUAUAAGUUGCUACAUCCAUUCAACAGCAGAGUUAAAGAUGCAGUAUGUAACUUUGUUAAAACAAAAAAAUAUCUUUGUAAAAGUUAUAUAGUUUUUUUUAUAUAUUUAUGUCACUAUGUUGUGUCAGUAUGUUAUGAGACCGACAAGCUGUGAAAAUAUUGAGCUCCUCUGCCUUUUCUCCAUGUUCCCAGUGCUAACUGGAGAAAUACACUGCUUGGUCAAAAACAAACCAUCUGAUCCAGCAAAAGGGUCUUAGAACUGAUAAAAGUCAGUCAUGUUUUUGUGCACGUAUUUCAAUGGGGUUUGUAUUUCUGCAGAUGGCAGUAGUCGCUCAGGGAGGAAGUGAAGGAGAUCAAUCUUUUUUUCAACAAAUUAUCUGUCUCAUAACAUAUUGUCACAACUUAGUGAUAGAUAUAGAUUUAUUUAAGAAAAGUUAUAUAAUGUAGCUAUAAUCUGUAUACGAGAGAGAAACGAGAGAAAUGAUUGGCAUUUUUUCAGUUUUACAUAUUUGCACAUGGUUUUGAAAUAGCACAUUUAAAAACAACAUAAAUGUAUGUACUGUUCAUGAAAGGCAGAGAAAAUACUAUUUUGAUCGACUUUGAUUGUUUGAAAUUCUGUGAUUACAACAUAGAAGUACUAAAUAAAGAUGUUUAUGUUUA